rnacentral:rRNA from 1 species
CUCGCCUACAUGAAGCUGGAGUUGCUAGUAAUCGCGAAUCAGCAUGUUGCGGUGAAUACGUUCCCGGGCCUUGUACACACCGCCCGUCACACCAUGAGAGUUGGCAAUACCCAACGUACGUGAUCUAACCCGCAAGGGAGGAAGCGUCCUAAGGUAGGGUCAGCGAUUGGGGUGAAGUCGUAACAAGGUAUC